rnacentral:SRP_RNA from 1 species
UCGUGCUAGGUGGGGAGCUAGCGGUGCCCUGAACCCGCAACCCGCUAUAGCGGGACCGAAUUCCUGUUCGAGGCCUUCAGACCCUUUGGGACUGCCGCUGCCGAGGGGCGUUGAAGGCCGGGUCCUGCGCGGCGGAGGGCUACGAACCCCGUCAGGUCCGGGAGGAAGCAGCGGUAAGUAGAUGUCUCCGGGUGCCGCAGGGCAGCCUGGCCGGAGCUGAUUGGCACGGUAAGCCAGGGGGUUUGGGUCGACAACAGGUGCACGA